rnacentral:lncRNA from 1 species
CCAAGAGGGAAAGAACUAGUUUAUUCAUCUUCCAAUCAAUGAAGCUUAAUAAAGUGCUCUGUGUAUAGCAAGCAUAUAGACACAGAAAAUCUGCCAGAUGGCUGCAAAAAACAAACGGGCUAAAUUUUACUUCGUGUAUUUCAAAAUUCAGAGAAAAACAGUACUCUUAAAAGGCAUAGACCAAAAAUAGAUCAUUGCAGAUUGAGUACAAAGAACCAUUCUAUUUCUUCAUCUACAGUUAACUUAUACUGUAAAAUAAACAAUAUAUAAAGAAAACAUUGAGUUUGAUAUGCAUUUGAUUUUAUCUUAUAUGAUAUCAACAAAUUUCACAAAUUACAUGUUGCUAUUUUAUUUAAUAUCUGCAACAUUUUACAUUGUUUAUGAAGUAGUUACUUCCAGAAGACUGAUAUUUUCCUUCAUGCCAUGUCUUUGGCUAGUACUACAGAUGUGAUUUAGUAGGAACCAUAUGACCAAACUGAUUCAAAUUCUGUCUUUCCUAGCCUGACACCUAAGAUCCUGAGUUAUUACAACCCUGACUUUGUCU